GUUUAUAUAGUUUAAAUAAAACAUUACAUUUUCACUGUAAAAAUAAAAUAUUAUUUUUAUAAAUA
rnacentral:tRNA from 1 species